CAUCACAUUCAGUUUCUGUGUUGCCAUGGUAAUUUCAUCAAAGAGAACAGUGGUCAGUGGUGUUGUCUGUUGUUGGAGAGCUACAUGUGUCUGCUUUGCAAUCCAGCUGUUCAGCUUUAACAUGGCCGUUACCGAGGAGCAGGAGGAGAACACAGUUGUAAAAACGUUUUUGUUCUCAAUGCUUUUAUUUUGAAACACAGGCUUUUAUUUUGAAACACAGGUUUUUAUUUUGGUGAGUCCAGUUUGAGUUUUUUCUACUGAUCAGCAUGGUAGCCAUUUUGAACACAUUUCCAGAGGAUCACGCAAUCCAGUUCCAUCCUGCUUUCGUUUAACACCUUGGGAAUUGCCAAUGGAUGUGGCACCUUCAGGCAUCUGGAAAUUGUACCCCGGGCGGAACCAGAGUUGUGGAGGUCGACAAUUCUCUUCCUGAUAUCUUGGCUGAUUUCUUUUGAUUUUCCCAUGAUGUCUCACGAGGAAGCAGUGUGUUUGAGUUGUGCCAAUAAAAUACAUCCACAAGUGUGCCUCCAGUUAACUCAAUUGUUGUCAAUAAACCUAUCAAAUGCUUCCAAAG